GAUGAACGCUGGCGGCGUGCCUAAUACAUGCAAGUCGAGCGAACAGACGAGGAGCUUGCUCCUCUGACGUUAGCGGCGGACGGGUGAGUAACACGUGGAUAACCUACCUAUAAGACUGGGAUAACUUCGGGAAACCGGAGCUAAUACCGGAUAAUAUAUUGAACCGCAUGGUUCAAUAGUGAAAGACGGUUUUGCUGUCACUUAUAGAUGGAUCCGCGCCGCAUUAGCUAGUUGGUAAGGUAACGGCUUACCAAGGCGACGAUGCGUAGCCGACCUGAGAGGGUGAGCGGCCACACUGGAACUGAGACACGGUCCAGACGCCGACGGGAGGCAGCAGUAGGGAAUCUUCCGCAAUGGGCGAAAGCUGGACGGAGCAACGCCGCGGGAGUGAUAAAGGUCUUCGGAUCGUAAAACUCUGUUAUUAGGGAAAAACAAAUGUGUAAGUAACUAUGCACGUCUUGACGGUACCUAAUCAGAAAGCCACGGCUAACUACGUG
rnacentral:rRNA from 1 species